UACGAAGGGGGCUAGCGUUGUUCGGAAUUACUGGGCGUAAAGCGCACGUAGGCGGGCGAUUAAGUCAGGGGUGAAAUCCCGGAGCUCAACUCCGGAACUGCCUUUGAUACUGGUCGUCUAGAGAUCGGAAGAGGUGAGUGGAAUUCCUAGUGUAGAGGUGAAAUUCGUAGAUAUUGGGAAGAACACCGGUGGCGAAGGCGGCUCACUGGUCCGAUACUGACGCUGAGGUGCGAAAGCGUGGGGAGCAAACAGG
rnacentral:rRNA from 1 species